GGGGUUGUACUGGUUUCGACGGGGGUCAUGCAGCUGGUGAAGCUAUCCCCAUGCGAUGGGUUAAAUGGCAAAAUUAAAAAUAAACGCUAACGACGAAUUAGCAUACGCUGCCUAAUGGCAGCUGUCAGACUUAAGGCACCUACACUUUAAGACCCUGGCAUCGACUAUGUAGGAAACGACACAUGCAAAGCUUUGCGCAUGCGGGCGUAUUAUGAAGCUACUAAAACCGUCAGAGUGUUUCUUCCCGGACGGUAGAGGGAAUGUCAAAUAAGGAACUAUGAUAGUAGAAGAACAGGGAAUUGAUUUUCGGACAGGGGUUCGAUUCCCCUCAGCUCCACGC
rfam:Clostridium sp. CAG:7 genomic scaffold, scf120